rnacentral:rRNA from 1 species
AUUGAACGCUGGCGGCAGGCCUAACACAUGCAAGUCGAGCGAGCGGCGGACGGGGGAGUAAUGUAUGGGGAUCUGCCCGAUAGAGGGGGAUAACUACUGGAAACGGUGGCUAAUAGCGCAUACUAUGGGAUGAACACUUGUGGGAUUAGCUAGUAGGUGGGGUAAAGGCUCACCAAGGCGACGAUCUCUAGCUGGUCUGAGAGGAUGAUCGGCCACACUGGGACUGAGACACGGCCCAGACUCCUACGGGAGGCAGCAGUGGGGAAUAUUGGACAAUGGGCGAAAGCCUGAUGCAGCAACGCCGCGUGUGUGAAGAAGGCCUUAGGGUUGUAAAGUACUUUCGGCAGGGAGGCGGUACCUGCCGAGGAAGCACCGGCUAACUACGUGCCAGCAGCCGCGGUAAUUC